CGACCCCAGGUCAGACGGGGAUUACCCGCUGAGUUUAAGCAUAUAAAUAAGCGGAGGAGAAGAAACUUAC
rnacentral:rRNA from 1 species